rnacentral:tRNA from 1 species
GCCCCUGUAGCUCAGCCGGAAGAGUACGUCCUUGGUAAGGACGAGGUCACCGGUUCGAUUCCGGUCGGGGGCU